rnacentral:rRNA from 1 species
GGAAUAUUGGACAAUGGGCGCAAGCCUGAUCCAGCCAUGCCGCGUGUGUGAAGAAGGCCUUCGGGUUGUAAAGCACUUUCAGUGGUGAGGAAGGUUGGUAGUUUAAUACGCUACCAAAUUGACGUUAGCCACAGAAGAAGCACCGGCUAACUCCGCGCCAGCAGCCGCGGUAAUACGGAGGGUGCGAGCGUUAAUCGGAAUUACUGGGCGUAAAGCGUUCGUAGGCGGCUUAUUAAGCAAGAUGUGAAAGCCCCGGGCUCAACCUGGGAAUUGCAUUUUGAACUGGUAGGCUCGAGUUUUGAAGAGGGUGGUAGAAUUUCCAGUGUAGCGGUGAAAUGCGUAGAUAUUGGAAGGAAUACCAGUGGCGAAGGCGGCCACCUGGUCAAAAACUGACGCUGAGGUACGAAAGCGUGGGGAGCAAACAGG